rnacentral:lncRNA from 1 species
GAAAUUACUGUUCUAUCCAUAUUGGUGACAUUACUUCUUAAAUUAUUCAAAUGAAAAUAUAUUCUACGGCCGGGCGCGGUGGCUCACGCCUGUAGUCCCAGCACUUGGGGAGGCCGAGGCGGGCGGAUCACAGGGUCAGGAGAUCGAGAACAUCCUGGCGAACACGGUGAAACCCCGUCUCUACUAAAACUGCAAAAAAAUUAGCCGGGGGUGAUGGCGGCGCCUGUAGCCCCAGCUACUGGGGAGGCUGAGGCAGGAGAAUGGUGUGAACCCGGGAAAGUGGAGGUUGCAGUGAGCCGAUAUCGCGCCACUGCACUCCAGCCUGGGUGACAGAGCCAGACUUUGUCUCAAAAAAAAUAAAAAUAAAAAUAAAAAGAACAUAUAUUCUACCUGUGAGUUCAGGAAAAAUUGACCAUAAAGGAAUGGUAUCAUAUACAAACAAAUAUAGCUCACAGUUUUCGCCUAGCAAUGAAGUGUUUACAGAACAAGUUACAGAUUAUUCUGCAAUAUGAAACAAUUCUAAAGUGUUUUUAAUCUUAAAAUUCAAAUUAGAAGUGAAAUGAUGUUCUUAUUUCAGCAAUGAAUACAGAAGUGAAAUGACUUUUCUGACGACUGUAUUUUUCAGUGUUCAUCUGGGUUUAAUACUUUAAAGAUUCCCUUUUAUUCCUUAACUAAUAUUCUGUUUGUGAAUGUAAACACCUUUUUCAGUUCCACUUAUUCUGCAGAAGGACCCUUCCACAUCAAGGAUUAACACAAUAUGCAUCAUGGGUUCAAAAAGUUCAAUUUGCAGCUCUCCUUAGCAAAUCAUGAGAACCAUCUGGACUGACUGAUGUGGAGAUUGAAAGUAACUGAUCCUGCAAUUGAGAAGCUUUUUGAAACAUGAAAUUAAACAAGAUGAUAUUAAGCAUUCUGAAGUUCAUCAGAGUGGCACAUCAAAUGUGUUACUAGCUGUUCAUUUUCCUUCGUAUUUUUAUGAAGACCCUUGACUAGCAGAAUGGAACAGAAACAGAAGGUGCUCCGUGGUGCUCUUGCUGCCAGCAAAGGUGGUCCGGAUCCCUUUGCCCAUCUCCCCUGUGACCGACAGCAGUUCCCUGUGGGUGCUCUGGGAGCCCUGGGCGCCAGGUGGUUUCAUGGCCUGCAUGCAGCCGAUGGAGGCGGUCCAAAGUCGUUAAAUAGCAGUUUGAAAGGGACAGCAGCUUCUGGCACCGAGCCCGACGGCGACAGGACGCUUCCUGUAGGGACCGGGGUG